GUCCUACUGAUUGGAGCAUGCAACUUCUCAAACGUCCUGCGCUCUUUUGUUCCUCUGGGUCCUUCUCAUUCCAGCCUUUGCUACAAUAUGCUGGAUUACGGAUGUGUUACUAUGUCUGAACUUCCAUCCAGGAUUUUUAACAUUACCGUAGUGACAGGAUAUCCAAGUCCUUGCCAGGGACUGUUCCUGUUCUGUUUCAUCGGAUUCCUCCCUUUCAUAGGGAACAGCGAUGAAUGCAGAACUGCAUGAUAGCUCAAAGUACUGGGAAUGAGUGAUCUCUGAAUGCUUGGCCCUAAAUAGGACAUUUAGACUAACUCCCCAAAGGCUCAGUAAAUAUCACAGAAGAGGGAGAAGAAAGAAUAUGAGCAGAAACAUAAGGCGGAAUGCAAAAGAGCAUCAUGCGAUCGGAGCAAUCAUGACCUCACAGCCACUGCAACUGCUUUCAGUGAGUCUGUACAACCCUGGGCCUGUCAACAGACUGAAAAGGGGCUCACAAUGCUUUA